UCGAGUUGAAAAGGUGUAACAGGUUUAUUUGAUAAAAGCAAUUCCCAGGCAGGUUCUACUCUCCCAGAGAUCAAGGCCAAAGAUGCCAUGCCCACAAAUAAAACCAGGGUUGCUGUAGAGAUUGUAGGCUAUGGGUGAUGAUAUCUCCACCACAAGCUGGAUUUAUGCCCAAGUGUAGUCAAAAGCUGGGUGCUUUAGGUGGGAACUAGGGUGUCUGGCAACUUCAGGGUAGGAAGCUACAAUAGCCACCAAAAAGUAACUAGGCUUUUUUGUGCCUUCCAUUUUGGAGAGUCUGAGUGGGUGGGGUUUGGAGAGAGAGAGAGAGAGAGAGAGAGAGAGAGAGAGAGAGAGAGAGAGAGAGAGAGAUGAAAGAGAGGAAUGGGGCUUCCUGGAUCAUAUAAGGGUGAGCUGGAGGUUCCAACCAAAUAGUGAUGUUCUUAGAAGCAGAAGUGUUAAAGGGUUUGACAGAAUAAUGUCAAGAUCUGUUGGUCUUGGAAACAAAAUGUCCUGUUUCUUCCUGCUCUAGUGAUCCUCUCUAGGACACCAACAUUGAGAGUUCCUGGAGUUCUUGUUCAGAACCUAGUAGUGCUGUUACUGGAACUGCGGGGAGAGACUGAGGCCUGGCAGCCUGACAACUGUGACAGCCAAAGUUAUGCUGUAGGUGUUAAUUACUGUGCCUAAGAGAUCCAUGAGACACAAUUCCUCUACCCUGUAAGUCCCUUGCCCAAGGACAGAUAGUUCCUGAAGUGCUGGAGGCUGUUGCUUAUGGAAGAUAACAAGCCACAUGUGUUCACUCUCUUAAACAAGUUUGUUUGCCCCAGCUGCACCAGAUGUGCUUGAUCUUGUGUAGGAGGGAGGCACUCAGGUAGGAAAUAUGUCAGAUUGUAUGCUUGCCCCUUAUUAGAUGUAGGUGUGAAGUAUGUAGGCAGGAAUUAUGUCAGGAUAUAUGCUUUUCUCUGAUUGGACCUGGUGGGUAAUAAGUAACCUUAUGGUUUGCCUUUAUAAGUCUUUGCAAAAUGUGACUUAUUUCCAUUUUCUGGGAACCCUGAAAUGGACCAGAGUCCAUCAUCCUGGUCAGUAUUUAAUUAAAGCUUGCUUCAAAUUUAGCUCAAACAUUGUGGUAGUGGUCUUAUUCUGAACACAACCUAGCCUCAGCCACUGGUCCUCAACACUCAGUUAAAAAGAGUAAUAAUGAAAAGCAGAGGAAGGAGAUUUAUUUUCUCAGGGCAGCAAUGUUAGGAUGAGGAACAAGCGAAGAAGUUGCAUGUCUUCUGCCAAGUCCAUCAUGGAUGGGGUCCUGAGGUCAGGUCAGGUAACAGAAGGCAAGUGAAAUACAUAACAAGGCCGUCAUGGUCAAAGUGAUCCCUUGAAUCACCCUGUCUCAGCUCCAUCUCUCUUGCAAGGUGGUCUGAAAGCUGCCAGAGCUCUGAGGAGAAAUCCCGCCGCUGGCUCACUCUAGACUUCAGAUUCUG
rnacentral:lncRNA from 1 species